UGCGUACCUUUUGUAUAAUGGGUCAGCGACUUAUAUUCUGUAGCAAGGUUAACCGCAUAGGGGAGCCGGAGGGAAACCGAGUCUUAAUUGGGCGUUAAGUUGCAGGGUAUAGACCCGAAACCCGGUGAUCUAGCCAUGGGCAGGUUGAAGGUUGGGUAACACUAACUGGAGGACCGAACCGACUAAUGUUGAAAAAUUAGCGGAUGACCUGUGGCUGGGGGUGAAAGGCCAAUCAAACCGGGAGAUAGCUGGUUCUCCCCGAAAGCUAUUUAGGUAGCGCCUCGUGAAUUCAUCUCCGGGGGUAGAGCACUGUUUCGGCUAGGGGGCCAUCCCGGCUUACCAACCCGAUGCAAACUGCGAAUACCGGAGAAUGUUAUCACGGGAGACACACGGCGGGUGCUAACGUCCGUCGUGAAGAGGGAAACAACCCAGACCGCCAGCUAAGGUCCCAAAGUCAUGGUUAAGUGGGAAACGAUGUGGGAAGGCCCAGACAGCCAGGAUGUUGGCUUAGAAGCAGCCAUCAUUUAAAGAAAGCGUAAUAGCUCACUGGUCGAGUCGGCCUGCGCGGAAGAUGUAACGGGGCUAAACCAUGCACCGAAGCUGCGGCAGCGACACUCAGGUGUUGUUGGGUAGGGGAGCGUUCUGUAAGCCUGCGAAGGUGGCCUGUGAGGGUUGCUGGAGGUAUCAGAAGUGCGAAUGCUGACAUAAGUAACGAUAAAGCGGGUGAAAAGCCCGCUCGCCGGAAGACCAAGGGUUCCUGUCCAACGUUAAUCGGGGCAGGGUGAGUCGACCCCUAAGGCGAGGCCGAAAGGCGUAGUCGAUGGGAAACGGGUUAAUAUUCCCGUACUUGGUGUUACUGCGAAGGGGGGACGGAGAAGGCUAUGUUGGCCGGGCGACGGUUGUCCCGGUUUAAGCGUGUAGGUGUGUGUUCCAGGUAAAUCCGGUU
rnacentral:rRNA from 1 species